rnacentral:rRNA from 1 species
ACGAAGAACUCCGAUUGCGAAGGCAGCCUGCUAAGCUGCAACUGACAUUGAGGCUCGAAAGUGUGGGUAUCAAACAGGAUUAGAUACCCUGGUAGUCCACACGGUAAACGAUGAAUACUCGCUGUUUGCGAUAUACUGCAAGCGGCCAAGCGAAAGCGUUAAGUAUUCCACCUGGGGAGUACGCCGGCAACGGUGAAACUCAAAGGAAUUGACGGGGGCCCGCACAAGCGGAGGAACAUGUGGUUUAAUUCGAUGAUACGCGAGGAACCUUACCCGGGCUUAAAUUGCAGAUGAAUUACGGUGAAAGCCGUAAGCCGCAAGGCAUCUGUGAAGGUGCUGCAUGGUUGUCGUCAGCUCGUGCCGUGAGGUGUCGGCUUAAGUGUCAUAACGAGCGCAACCCUUGUUGUCAGUUACUAACAGGUUCCGCUGAGGACUCUGACAAGACUGCCAUCGUAAGAUGUGAGGAAGGUGGGGAUGACGUCAAAUCAGCACGGCCCUUACGUCCGGGGCUACACACGUGUUACAAUGGGGGGUACAGAGGGCCGCUACCACGCGAGUGGAUGCCAAUCCCCAAAACCUCUCUCAGUUCGGACUGGAGUCUGCAACCCGACUCCACGAAGCUGGAUUCGCUAGUAAUCGCGCAUCAGCCACGGCGCGGUGAAUACGUUCCCGGGCCUUGUACACACCGCCCGUCAAGCCAUGGGAGCCGGGGGUACGUGAAGUGCGUAACCGCGAGGAGCGCCCUAG